rnacentral:lncRNA from 1 species
GAAAUAAUACAAGCAAUAAAAGACAUGCCACAAGACAAGGCACCUGGGGUGGAUGGCAUCCCAGUGGAGUUUUUCAUCUGGCAGUGGCACAUUGUAGGGGAUGACAUUUGUGAAGCUGUGACAGAUUUCUUUACAACUGGGAAACUACAUUCUGGAGUUAGUAGCACUGCACUGACUCUCAUUCCCAAGGCAGAUAAUCCAACUAAAGUCAAGGAUUACAGGCCAAUUGCCUGUUGCACAACUGUAUACAAGAUCCUCACAAAGAUUAUUACAGCUAAGUUGAAAGGGGUUAUUGAUUCUCUAGUGGGCAAGUCACAAUCAGCUUUCAUCGAGGGUCGCAGCAUUAUUGAUAACAUAUUGUUCACACAAGAAUUGUUCAAGGGCUAUUCCAGGAAGGGCCUCUCUCCUAGGUGUGUGCUAAAGGUGGACCUAAAGAAGUCUUACGACUCAGUUGAAUGGGUUUUUCUUAGUAGAUUGUUGCAAGGGCUGGGGUUUCCUUCUAAAUUUAUUGGUUGGAUAAUGGAAUAUGGACCUAAAGAAGGCUUACGACUCAGUUGAAUUGGUUUUUCUUAGUAGAUUGUUACAGGGGCUGGGGUUUCCUUCUAAAUUUAUUGGUUGGAUAAUGGAAUGUAUAUCAAUUGUAUCCAAUUCUCUCAACUUUAAUGGAGGUCUAGCUGCUCCAUUUAAAGGGAAAAGAGGUUUGCGACAAGGUGACCCAAUGUCACCAUACCUCUUUGUACUGGAAAUGGAGUAUCUACAUAGGCAGCUUGUGCAAGUGAUGCUGAGGAAAGACUUCAGGUUCCAUCCUAAAUGCAAGAAGUUGGGUGUAGCACAUGUUUGCUUUGCGGAUGACCUCCUCUUAUUCUGCAAGGCAGAUAUUCGAUCAGUUAGCCUGCUGAAACAGAUUCUUCAGGAGUUCUCUAAGGUUUCUGGUCUUCACGCAAAUGCGGACAAGAGUGAAGUUUACUUAGCAGGCGUGAACAACUGGCAGAAACAGCAGAUACUUCAGAUAUUGGGAUUUCCAUAAGGCAAUCUCCCUUUCAAGUAUUUGGGGAUGCCUCUGGACUCGAAGAAGUUGUCUGUUGCACAAUGCUGGCCACUUGUGGAGAAAAUUACACAGAAAGUUAACUGUUGGUCGUCAAGGCUCCUAUCUUAUGAUGGUCGGCUUCAAUUGAUAAAAUCUGUCUUGUUUGGUAUUCAAGCCUACUGGUCCUAGAUCUUUUUAUUGCCCAAAAAGAUUUUGAAGAUGACAGAGGCCAUAUGUAGUCCUAUCUGUGGAUUGGUGCUGCCACAGUCUCAAGAAAGGCCAUGAUUGCAUGGGACAGUAUGUGCUUGCCUUACAGUGCAGGGGGUCUGAAUGUCUUAGACCUAGCUAAAUGGAACAAAGCUAUUGUG